AGAUUGAACGCUUGGCGGCAUGCCUAAACACAUGCAAGUCGAGGCGGCAGCGCGGGGGCGACCCUGGCGGCGAGCGGACGGACGGGUGAGUAAGGCAUCGGAAUCUGCCCUAGAUGUGGGGGAUAACGUAGGGAAACUUUACGCUAAUACCGCAUACGACCGAGAGGUGAAAGCGGGGGACCGAAAGGCCUCGCGCAGCAGGAUGAGCCCGAUGUCCGAUUAGCUGGUUGGUGGGGUAACGGCCCACCAAGGCGACGAUCGGUAGCUUGGUCUGGAGAGGGACGACCAGCCACACUGGGACUGAGACACGGCCCCAGACUCCUACGGGGAGGCAGC
rnacentral:rRNA from 1 species